rnacentral:rRNA from 1 species
UACGUAGGGUGCGAGCGUUGUCCGGAAUUAUUGGGCGUAAAGAGCUCGUAGGCGGUCUGUCGCGUCGAUCGUGAAAACUUGGGGCUUAACCCUGAGCUUGCGGUCGAUACGGGCAUGACUGGAGUUCGGCAGGGGAGACUGGAAUUCCUGGUGUAGCGGUGAAAUGCGCAGAUAUCAGGAGGAACACCGGUGGCGAAGGCGGCCCACUGGUCCGGUACUGACGCUGAGGUGCGAAAGCGUGGGGAGCAAGCAGG